rnacentral:misc_RNA from 1 species
CCAAGAAGAUGUGUGUUAAGUGAAGUGCUCACACAGAUUGUCUGAUGAAAAUAACGAGCAGAAAUACCUUAAUAGGCUUGUAGCUCAGGUGGUUAGAGCGCACCCCUGAUAAGGGUGAGGUCGGUGGUUCAAGUCCACUCAGGCCUACCAACUCUUCCAUGAGUGGUAUCUAAGGUAUCUGUAAGCAACGAUGGGGUUAUAGCUCAGCUGGGAGAGCGCCUGCCUUGCACGCAGGAGGUCUGCGGUUCGAUCCCGCAUAGCUCCACCAUCACUACUCGCUAUAUAGAAAACUUCAGAGUGUACCUGUUUGGGUGCACUGCGACGUUUUGCUCUUUAACAAUCUGGAACAAGCUGAAAAUUGAAACAUGACAGCUGAACAUGCAUUGGUCCUUCAGGGUAUGAAUGGCGUGUCAGUGUGUCAAUGAGUCUCUCAAAUAAUCGCAGCACGACAGUGGCUUUGAUUUAUCAAAGACCCUUCGGGUUGUGA